AGAUUGAACGCUGGCGGUAUGCUUAACACAUGCAAGUCGAACGGCAGCACAGGGUAGCUUGCUAUCCGGGUGGCGAGUGGCGGACGGGUGAGUAACGCGUAGGAAUCUACCUUUUCGUGGGGGAUAACCCGGGGGAAACUCGGGCUAAUACCGCAUACGCCCUACGGGGGAAAGCGGGGGACCUUCGGGCCUCGCGCGGAACGAUGAGCCUGCGUCCUAUCAGGUAGUUGGUGAGGUAAUGGCUCACCAAGCCGACGACGGGUAGCUGGUCUGAGAGGACGACCAGCCACACUGGGACUGAGACACGGCCCAGACUCCUACGGGAGCAGCAGUGGGGAAUAUUGGACAAUGGGGGAAACCCUGAUCCAGCAAUACCGCGUGUGUGAAGAAGGCCUUCGGUUGUAAGCACUUUAGCAGGAAAGAAAGAUUGUGCGUUAAUACCGCAUUGGUUUUGACGUUACUUGCAAGAAAAGCACCGGACUAACUCCGU
rnacentral:rRNA from 1 species